UACGUAGGGGGCAAGCGUUGUCCGGAAUCAUUGGGCGUAAAGAGCGUGUAGGCGGCUCGAUAAGUCUGCUGUGAAAGUCCAGGGCUCAACCCUGGAAGGCCGGUGGAAACUGUCGGGCUAGAGUCCGGAAGAGGCGAGUGGAAUUCCCGGUGUAGCGGUGAAAUGCGCAGAUAUCGGGAGGAACACCAAUGGCGAAGGCAGCUCGCUGGGACGUACUGACGCUGAGACGCGAAAGCGUGGGGAGCGAACGAGG
rnacentral:rRNA from 1 species